CGAGUUUGAUCCUGGCUCAGAACGAACGCUGGCGGCAGGCUUAACACAUGCAAGUCGAGCGCCCCGCAAGGGGAGCGGCAGACGGGUGAGUAACGCGUGGGAACAUACCCUUUAGUACGGAAUAGCCUCGGGAAACUGGGAUUAAUACCGUAUACGCCCUACGGGGAAGAUUAUCGCUAAGGAUUGGCCGCGUUGGAUUAGCUAGUUGGUGAGGUAAUGGCUCACCAAGGCGACGAUCUAUAGCUGGUCUGAGAGGAUGAUCAGCCACACUGGGACUGAGACACGGCCCAGACUCCUACGGGAGGCAGCAGUGGGGAAUAUUGGACAAUGGGCGAAAGCCUGAUCCAGCCAUGCCGCGUGAGUGAUGAAGGCCCUAGGGUUGUAAAGCUCUUUCGCUAGAGAAGAUAAUGACGGUAUCUAGUAAAGAAGCCCCGGCUAACUUCGUG
rnacentral:rRNA from 1 species